rnacentral:rRNA from 1 species
AUGGUACGUAUAGAUGAGUUGAAACCAACUCAAAGUAACCCGCGAGCACACACAACAAACCGAAUAGAUCAGUCGUCUUCGGAGCCAGUGCAAGCAAACAUGCAACCGCAGCAGGACGCCGCCGAGGACGUGGUCAUUGUCGGCGCCGGCCUCGCCGGUGUCGGUGUCGCCCUGGGACUCCACAGGAAGGGCGUGCGGAGCAUGGUGCUGGAGUCGUCGCCGGCGCUCCGGACGUCCGGCUUCGCGUUCAUGACAUGGACCAACGCCUUCCGCGCGCUUGACGCCCUCGGCGUCGGCGACAAGAUGAGGAGCCACCACCUGCAGGUUCAGGGGGUGCGCGUCAUGUCUCCGACUACCGGGGAAGUGGUGCGAGAGCUGGAUCUCCGAGUGCAAGGCAAACUGGGACCCCACGAAGCCCGGUGCGUGCAGCGUAACGUGCUCCUCCAGGCGCUGGAGGAAGAGCUUCCGGCAGGCACCAUCCGCUACUCCUCCAGGAUCGUCUCCAUCGACGACGACAAAGAAAAAGAAGGCGGCGGCGAUGCCAAGAUCCUGCAUCUCGCCGACGGCUCGACGCUCCGAGCAAAGGUGCUGAUCGGCUGCGACGGGAUCAACUCGGUGGUGGCGAAAUGGCUGGGGCUCGCCAAGCCGCUCGACUCAGGGCGCAGGGCCACGCGGGGGCACGCCAAGUACCCCGACGGCCACGGCUUCCAGCCCAAGUUCAUGCAGUUCAGCGGCAACGGCUUCCGUGCCGGCCUGGUGCCCUGCGGCGACACGGACGUGUACUGGUUCCUGACGUGGUCGCCUUCCUGUCCGGACGGCACGGAGGACGUCGACCCGAGCCCGGCGGAGAUGAAGCAAUUCGUGCUGGCCAAGCUGAGGAGCAUCAAGGCCCCCGCCGAGGUGCUGGAAGCGGUCGAGAGGAGCGAGAUGAACGACGUGCUCGUGGCGCCGCUGCGGUACCGCCCGCCGCUGUCGCUCCUCUUCGGGAGCAUCAGCAAGGGGAACGUGUGCGUCGCCGGCGACGCGCUCCACCCCACGACGCCGGACCUGGCGCAGGGCGCGUGCAUCGCGCUGGAGGACGCCGUCGUCCUCGCGCGGUGCCUCGGCGACGCCAUGGCCGGCGACGGCGACGGCACUGAGACGGUCGAGGAGGCUCUGCGCCGGUACGCCGGGAUCCGGCGGUGGAGGAGCGCGCAGGUGAUCGCGGCGUCCUACAUGGUGGGGCGUGUGCAGCAGAGCGAGCACGCCGUGGUGAGAUUCGCGCGGGACAGGGUGCUGUCAGGGGUGCUCGCCAAGGGGCUCCUCAUGAUGCCGGACUACGACUGUGGCACGCUUUGA